rnacentral:rRNA from 1 species
UACGUAGGGGGCAAGCGUUGUCCGGAAUCAUUGGGCGUAAAGAGCGUGUAGGCGGUCCGGUAAGUCGGCUGUGAAAGUCCAGGGCUCAACCCUGGGAUGCCGGUCGAUACUUCCGGACUAGAGUUCGGAAGAGGCGAGUGGAAUUCCCGGUGUAGCGGUGAAAUGCGCAGAUAUCGGGAGGAACACCUAUGGCGAAGGCAGCUCGCUGGGACGUUACUGACGCUGAGACGCGAAAGCGUGGGGAGCAAACAGG